rnacentral:misc_RNA from 1 species
AACGCACAUUGCGCCCGCUAGUAUUCUGGCGGGCAUGCCUGUCUGAGCGUCAUUUCAACCCUCGCGCCCGGCUUCUUGUCGGAUGCGGUGUUGGGGAUCGACCUGCCGUCUGACGGAGGGUCGGCCCCGAAAUGGAGUGGCGACCACGCCGUAGCCUCCUCUGCGUAGUAACAUAUCACCUCGCAGGUGGAGAGCGGUGCGGUCAUGCCGUAAAACACCCAACUUUACCAAGGUUGACCUCAGAUCAGGUAGGAAUACCCGCUGAACUUAA